rnacentral:rRNA from 1 species
UACGUAGGGGGCAAGCGUUGUCCGGAUUUAUUGGGCGUAAAGAGCGUGUAGGCGGCCAGGUAGGUCGGUUGUGAAAACUGGAGGCUCAACCUUCAGAGGUCGACCGAAACCAUCUGGCUAGAGUCCGGGAGAGGAGAGUGGAAUUCCUGGUGUAGCGGUGAAAUGCGCAGAUAUCAGGAAGAACACCAAUGGCGAAGGCAGGUCUCUGGGCCGCAACUGACGCUGAGGAGCGAAAGCAUGGGGAGCGAACAGG